rnacentral:rRNA from 1 species
UACGUAGGGCGCAAGCGUUUGUCCGGAAUUAUUGGGCGUAAAGAGCUCGUAGGCGGUCUGUUGCGUCUGCCGUGAAAACCCGAGGCUUAACCUCGGGCCUGCGGUGGAUACGGGCAGACUAGAGGUAGGUAGGGGAGAAUGGAAUUCCCGGUGUAGCGGUGAAAUGCGCAGAUAUCGGGAGGAACACCGGUGGCGAAGGCGGCAUCCUGGACCAAUAUUGACGCUAGGAGCGAAAGCCAGGGGAGCAAAGCGGG